ensembl:lncRNA
CCGCUGAUCAUUAGAGGAGUAUAGGGCUGCUGCUGUCUCUUCCUGAAGUCAACAAUCAGCUCUUUAGUUUUGCUCACAUUCAGAGAGAGACAAUUGUCCUGGCACCAUGAUGUUAAUUUCUCUACCUCAUCCAAGUAUGCGGUCUCAUUAUUGUUGGAAAUGAGGCCCAGAACCACAGUAUCAUCAGCAAAUUUAAUAAUAGAUGUGGAGCUGUGGGAAGACACGCAGUCAUGUGUGUAGAGAGAGUAGAGCAGGGGACUCAGGCAAGCGUGUACGUCUGCAGACUGCAAGACAGAGGCGUAACUUGAAAGAGGCGUAACUUGAAGUAGGAGGCGUAACUUGAAGUUGUCGAAAUCUCAUAGAAUCACGCGAGAUGUCAAAAUGAUAAGUUGUUGGCAAUAUGGCUGCUUUCAGUAGGGCACAGAGUAGAAUAUUGAUUACGUUUUUUAUGGAAAUCAGGGGUUUUAGGCAGGAUUUGAUGCAUAAGGUGUGUGUAGAUAUUAAUGUUAGGGGACAAUGUGAGUGAUGUGUACGUUUAGUGGGAAAACCUAUUAUCUGAUCCACACUCCGGGACAGAAGAGGGCGGUAUUGCACCAAUAAGCUGGAUGCCAACCGCCGUUAAACUGGAAAGAAGUUACAAUGAGUUACAAUGAUCUUUUGUGGUGGAGCAGGACCUGCAAGGAAAGGGGAAAAAAAGGAAAAACCUGAAACAAAAGAAUAAAGUAGUGGUGCUCAUGGAGAGCAGCACACGAUUGUUUGGAGCAGACACAGCAGCACUCAGAUUGUCCUGCAUGUGUUCUUCUGCUCUCGUUUCAAGGUUGUGUGGUUCAGAGAGCCGUCAUCAAGGUCUUCCUCAUCCUGUUGCUCAACGACAUCCCCGUUGAGAAGAGUGAGAUUGUGAAGCACAGCGCAGCAGCAGAACUGUCUCAGCUGUGUUGAGAUGAUAGUAAGAUGUGGGGUUCACCGUCUGUAAAUACAUGAUUGUUAGAACAGUAAGUUUGAAAGAAGCUUUGUUUCAUGUGUUGUUGACUUGUACAUGUCUGCAUUUAUUGUGAUGCUAACAUUUAUACAUUCUUUUAAUCAUUUAGACAUGUUUCUUGUUGUCAGUAAAUAAAAUAUAAA